rfam:Picea glauca, whole genome shotgun sequence.
GUUUUAUCUCUGCAGACAUUCGAUAAAAUUGGAAAGAUAGAGGGAAUAUUAGCAUGGCCCCUACACAAGGAUGACACAUUUCGUAAUGAUAAUAAAUUUCAUUACUUUU